GACGAAUGCUGGCUGCGUGCUUAACACAUGCAAGUCGAACGGUGAAGGAGGGCUUGCCCUCCGGAUCAGUGGCGAACGGGUGAGUAACACGUGGGCAACCUACCCUUCACUCUGGGAUAACGCCGGGAAACCGGCGCUAAUACCGGAUACGACCGGAUGCGACAUCACGUCUGGUGGAAAGAAUUUCGGUGAGGGAUGGGCCCGCGGCCUAUCAGCUUGUUGGUGGGGUAAUGGCCCACCAAGGCGACGACGGGUAGCCGGCCUGAGAGGGCGACCGGCCACACUGGGACUGAGACACGGCCCAGACUCCUACGGGAGGCAGCAGUGGGGAAUAUUGCGCAAUGGGCGAAAGCCUGACGCAGCGACGCAGCGUGAGGGAUGAAGG
rnacentral:rRNA from 1 species